UGCGGGGGGAGCAAGCGUUGUUCGGAUUUACUGGGCGUAAAGGGCGCGUAGGCGGCCACCGCAAGUCGGUUGUGAAAUCUCCGGGCUUAACCCGGAAAGGUCAAUCGAUACUGCGGGGCUAGAGUGCAGAAGGGGCAACUGGAAUUCUCGGUGUAGCGGUGAAAUGCGUAGAUAUCGAGAGGAACACCUGCGGCGAAGGCGGGUUGCUGGGCUGACACUGACGCUGAAGCGCGAAAGCUAGGGGAGCGAACGGG
rnacentral:rRNA from 1 species